rnacentral:rRNA from 1 species
UACGGAGGAUGCAAGCGUUAUCCGGAAUGAUUGGGCGUAAAGCGUCCGCAGGUGGUUUUCCAAGUCUGCUGUUAAAGCGCGAGGCUUAACCUCGUACAGGCAGUGGAAACUGGAUGACUAGAGUAUGGUAGGGGUAGCGGGAAUUCCCAGUGUAGCGGUGAAAUGCGUAGAUAUUGGGAAGAACACCAGCGGCGAAAGCGCGCUACUGGGCCAUUACUGACACUCAUGGACGAAAGCUAGGGGAGCGAAAGGG